rnacentral:rRNA from 1 species
UACGUAGGAGGCGAGCGUUGUCCGGAGUUACUGGGCGUAAAGGGUGCGCAGGCGGCGGUUCGCGUGGCGAGAUGAAAUCUCCUGGCUUACCUGGGAGGAUGGUCGCCAGACGGGAUCGCUUGAGGGUCGGAGAGGGGCGUGGAAUUCCGGGUGGAGCGGUGAAAUGCGUAGAGAUCCGGAGGAACACCGACGGCGUAGGCAGCGCCCUGGACGACACCUGACGCUGAGGCACGAAAGCGUGGGUAGCAAACAGG